rnacentral:lncRNA from 1 species
GGGAACAUUUAAAACCGGGUUCUUCAGACCCAACAUUCUAAAGCCUUGAAAAGGAUAGGCAUCAAAAGACACAAUAGCAGGCCUAGGUUCUUCUCUCACCUCCACAAAGGGGAGGCCCUGAAGUCUGAGGCCACACUACCAAAGUCAGACUGCACUCGCUGUCCACAGGAGACUGGAGACCCUGGUGCACGGUGGACACAGGUCGAAGCAGAAGAGGGUGUGGGGCAGAACCCAGCAAUGAACUGCAGAACGAUAGACCAAGGUUUCUGGAAAGAUGUUAAGUGUUUCCUCAGUGUAGUGUCAGUU